rnacentral:tRNA from 1 species
GCCGAGGUGGCGAAACGGUAGACGCGGCGGACUUAAAAUCCGCUACCUCAUUGGGGGUGUGUGGGUUCGAGUCCCUCCCUCGGCA